GGGGACGUAGCUCAGUUGGCAGAGCGCCUGCUUUGCAAGCAGGAUGUCAGGGGUUCGAUUCCCCUCGUCUCCAC
rnacentral:tRNA from 1 species